rnacentral:rRNA from 1 species
GAUGAACGCUGGCGGCGUGCCUAAUACAUGCAAGUCGAGCGAACGGACGAGAAGCUUGCUUCUCUGAUGUUAGCGGCGGACAGGUGAGUAACACGUGGAUAACCUACCUAUAAGACUGGGAUAACUUCGGGAAACCGGAGCUAAUACCGGAUAAUAUUUUGAACCGCAUGGUUCAAAAGUGAAAGACGGUCUUGCUGUCACUUAUAGAUGGAUCCGCGCUGCAUUAGCUAGUUGGUAAGGUAACGGCUUACCAAGGCAACGAUGCAUAGCCGACCUGAGAGGGUGAUCGGCCACACUGGAACUGAGACACGGUCCAGACUCCUACGGGAGGCAGCAGUAGGGAAUCUUCCGCAAUGGGCGAAAGCCUGACGGAGCAACGCCGCGUGAGUGAUGAAGGUCUUCGGAUCGUAAAACUCUGUUAUUAGGGAAGAACAUAUGUGUAAGUAACUGUGCACAUCUUGAUGGUACCUAAUCAGAAAGCCACGGCUAACUACGUG